UACGUAGGUGGCAAGCGUUGUCCGGAAUUAUUGGGCGUAAAGCGCGCGCAGGCGGUCCUUUAAGUCUGAUGUGAAAGCCCACGGCUCAACCGUGGAAGGUCAUUGGAAACUGGGGGACUUGAGUACAGAAGAGGAAAGCGGAAUUCCACGUGUAGCGGUGAAAUGCGUAGAGAUGUGGAGGAACACCAGUGGCGAAGGCGGCUUUCUGGUCUGUAACUGACGCUGAGGCGCGAAAGCGUGGGGAGCGAACAGG
rnacentral:rRNA from 1 species